rnacentral:rRNA from 3 species
AAAUUGAAGAGUUUGAUCAUGGCUCAGAUUGAACGCUGGCGGCAGGCCUAACACAUGCAAGUCGAGCGGAAACGAGUUAUCUGAACCUUCGGGGGACGAUAACGGCGUCGAGCGGCGGACGGGUGAGUAAUGCCUAGGAAAUUGCCCUGAUGUGGGGGAUAACCAUUGGAAACGAUGGCUAAUACCGCAUGAUGCCUACGGGCCAAAGAGGGGGACCUUCGGGCCUCUC